CUGAGGGUCAGGCGACUGUUGCAUUAACGUACUUGCGAUUUGAGGAAAAGCCUGCGGUGAUGAAUAGCAGGCGGUCUGCUGCCCCCCGAGCAAAUUUGGUUAGUGAGAUGUUGAGAGAGAAUGUUUUCUUGGUGAAGCUUCUUUGUGCCUAUUUGGAAGCACUCCUGCAAAACCAGCAACUGGGUCUUUCCUCUUCCAUUUCUGAAGCUCUUCCUGCAUCUUAUCAAUUUUGGCUGGAUUCAGAGCCCACAAACAGCCUUUUCGAGAAGAAUUGCCUGACUUGUUUUCAAC